rnacentral:lncRNA from 1 species
CAAUUGACACCAUCAACCUUCCCAUAGUGCACCAGUCAUUGAAUACCAGGUUAGUCCAGUCACAGUGGUGGUGGUAGCAGGAGGAGACGAUGUGGAGAUAAAGCUCAUGUUUUGAUUUUCGAUUCUCUAUUAUCUAAGUUCUCCCUCAUCCUUUCGAUUCUAGUUAGUUGGUAUUGGUUGCGAGUCUUAUCCAGAAUUGUGUUAAUGUAUAGAUGAUUAUUAUCGGAUAGCGUGGGGACUGGAAUUGGUGAAGUUUUGGGCCGCUGGAUCUUGAUCGGAUGAGCAUUGUAUUUUCUUUCAUGAAAAAAGGAAAUAAAAAAGAGAAGGAAUUUUGACUGAUAGAAAUGAAAUGUAUCCGUUAGCCUUAUCCUUUCCGGA